UAAACAUUGUUGAAAGUUGGAAAGAGUCCAUUUCAGGGGCCGAGUUACACUUUAGUUCAGCUGUCCGUGUGCCUCAAAGACGCACGUAUCGCAUCGGAUCUUCACGCAAAAUUUUAAGCAUUUUAAGCGCAUCUAAAUGAUAGAAUUUGGGAAUAAAUACUCCGCAUACUGAACCGGAACUUGACCAGUUUGAGUGGGUAUAUUGGGUGUCGCCUGUUUUGGUAGUGCAUAUAGGCUGCUUUGAGUUUAUCGAAUUCUCUGCUGUUUCUGGUUUUAAAGACACAUUAGUCAGGGAGUAUGGAUCUGUCAUUGGUGUUAGCACUCUGCUCCUGUGUGGCCCCUGCGUUGGGGUCAGCUUUUGGCAGGGAAAUGCCAGCAUCCAGUAUUAAUGACAUGAAAGGUAAUUUUCAUCCAGGUCAUUUUCCUUUUUAAGUUUGACAUUCACUUGAUAUUUUUUUUAUACUGUGACACACCAACCAAUGUAAUUACCUGGAAAUUC